rnacentral:tRNA from 1 species
GAUAAUUUGGCAGAAAUAUAUGCAUAUGAUUUAAGCUCAUAUUAUACUAUAAUAGUAAUUAUCU